AAACCCUGUGGGCCUGCCUGCUUUUCCAUUAACUUUAUCACCCAUAUUUCCGAGAAGAGAGACAGAAUGUGUCUGUCUCUCUUCUCGGAAAUAUGGGUGAUAAAGUUAAUGGAGAAGCAGGCAGGCCCACAGGGUUC